rnacentral:lncRNA from 1 species
CUGCCUCAGAUCCUGGAAAGUUAUUUAUUACAAAGUGAGAAAUUAGUUAAAAAUAAAGGAGGGAAAGUUUUUAGAUUUUGUGAUGAGAUCUUGGACAUGCUUUUUACACUGCUUGAAAUGGCAGUGUUGGCAGCUAAAAGUGAGGAUGGAGACCAGACAGUAAGGAGCUACAGAGCACAGGUGAAGAGCAUUAGGAAACGUAGUCAGGGACAGCAAAGGGAAGGGGAGAAUCCAGCUCAGCACUGGUUCCAAAGGCCUGUUUUGGCAGCUCCAACCUGUCCUGCCAGGUCCUCUGGGCCCAGCCCACGCUUCCUUCCCUGCAGCAAGGCUCCAGGCUUGUUCUCUAAUGCUGCCACCACCCUCUCUAUUCUUGGGGUUGAUCCUCUUUCCAAGCAACAAAGAAAGAAGAGUGGCUCCUUCUUUCUUUGAUGUACUUGAAGACAAACUCUUUUGAUUUCACAGGAUUUGUUGCUAAAGACUUGAGAAAACAAAUAAGACAAUUAUAAGCACAAAAAUAAUGAAAAUGGCAACAAAACUAACUAAAAUAUGGAGUAAAUUAUAAUUUCCAGUCUUAAAGAACUCAGAAUCACGAUCCAGACUCUAACAGCUUCUUUCUCAUUUUAUUUGUAAAGGUGAAGAUGACCAGACAACUUUCUUUCAGCUUUAAGUCAGCCUCCUCUCCCUCUUCAAAGCCCCUCUUCUAGGACAGAAGAGGCCAUCAGGGACUAACAAUAAAUGCCUCACACCCUCCAGCGGACAUCUGCAUUUCUGAACAUUCCAGACCAAGGUUAUACCAAAGAACAGCCCUCUUAGUGGCAUUUUAUUCUAUCAGGCCAAGAUAAAGUUUUCCUAAAACUGGCUUUUUAGUAAAAGUUCACAUGAUAAAUACACAUUCAUUAUACUAUUGUUAUCCUUAUGCUUUUGUGUGUAUUUGAAAUUUUCCAAAAUAAAAAAAAAUUUUUUUAAGUAACAGCUGGCUGGGCAUAAUGGCUCACACAUGUAAUCCCAGCACUUUGAGAGGCUGAGGCAGGAGGAUCACUU